rnacentral:lncRNA from 1 species
CUGAAUUCCAUUUGUUUAAUUAUCAAAUUAAAUCAAAUUCACUUGUUUAUUAAAUGAAUCAAUUUUUUCAUAACCAAAUCCAUUUAAUUUGCACCGAAUCAAAUAAAAUAAACAAAUCUUAACCUAAAUUACUACCCCUAAUUAAAAUUAAGAAACCCUAAAACUAAAAAAGGUAAACCCGAUCCCUCGUCUCUCUCAACUGCCACCACCUGUCAGCGACUCAUCUUCAGCCCAUCAGCCAUGCCACAUCACCGUGAUGGGACACUAAUCGUCUCCCUCAGCCAUCAUCUGUCAUCCACCCGUCGGUUGUCACUUUCUCGCAGCAUGACAAUAAUCUUCGUUGGUGAUGCAACUCCCACCUUAAAGCCUCUCAGUUGUCGUAGCUCCCGUUUGACUCGUCUGCUGUUAGCUCUUCACUUGAUGUUAACUUCAGCUCCUCAUAGUUUCAGCUUGUAGCAUUUCUUAAUUUUGAAUUUCUAACUUAUUGAAUCUGUUAGUGUUAUUACUGUUAUGAUGAAUUGAUCAUUGUGAUUUGUGAAGUGAUGAACCGUUAUUAAGUGUUAAUGACUUAACAUUACUAUUACUAUUUUGGUGGUUGAAGCAAUUGA